UUUAAGCAUAUCACUCAGUGGAGGAACAGCAAGCAACUGCGAUUGCUGCAGUAAUGGCGAAUGAACGAGCAGGACCCAUGGCUCUCCCUGAAAUCGGGACUCCUGACUCCAGUUGACACCACAACCAAACCACACACCCAUGCGGUGCUGUGGGGUGCGACUAGAUCGGCUUUCGUUGGAAUCCAGCAAACCCUGUGGGCUAUGGAGCGACUGGCUGCGUCCUGGUGAUCCCAGUGCCAAGAAGAGUCCUGGAAUGGACCCACAGAACAGGGAUACUGUCCCGUAUGACGCCCGUGCACUGGGACCCACCGGGGUGUGGCUGGCCGCAUCCCUGAGUAGAGUGGCUUGGGACUGCAGUUUGAAGAGCGAUGUGUAUCCAUCGCAAGGUGGCAUACAGACCUGGGACCGAUAGCGCAGAAGUAGAGUGAUCGAAGGAUGCAAAGAACUCCGCGAAGAGGGUUAAAAGCCCCUGAAGCCGCAACAGGAACGGUGGUGUGCAGUGCUGUAUUAUUGCUAGAUUCGUCCAAGCGUCCCUGGGUCAGCCCUGGACUGGUCGCUGAGCUCCCAUCCUUGGAUGGGAAUGACUAUCGCGGCAGUCCUGUGGUGGCAGCAACGCCCUGCCUGGACCUGGGGUUUACCAGUGAAACUCAGUCUUCGUCGUGGUGUUCCCUCACCCGAUGUGGCUCUGGAUGCGAAGCAGACCAACCGGACACGGUUUGUGUGUGUGGCCCAACGGUGUUGUUGUCUCCCACGGCCGGAUAUGAAGAGUGAAACAACUCCCGGCGUGGUGUGUUCAACUCACCUCCCACACAUACCCGUGUUCCGUGUUGCGACSCUUGUUGAUUUGCUGCUUGUCCCCAAUCCUGGUGCGUCUUCGGACGUGUCAGUCGCUGGCUGGUCGAUCUGGAUUAGGGGUGUGCUCGGCUGUACUGGGGUCUGCAUCGUUCUGACGAUGGUCACCGUACUGGCUGCACCACCCCCCAGCUUGGCCCCAGUGAGAAAUGGCAGCGGAGCUUGGCACCCAACCUCACAGUGCUGCUCUCUGCCCGUCUCGAAACACGGACCAAGGAGUCUAAGGAGCUUGCUUGUCGGAUGGCUGAUACAAAACCUCUUUGAGGCGUGGUGAAGGCAAUACUCUCUUCCAGAUGGGCUGUGAUAUCUCUGCAUGGAACGACCGGACCCGAAGUCCAGUGGACAGGGUUUUGAGUGAAUGCAAGGUCCUUGGGACCCGAAAGGUGGUGAACUAUACCGUUCUACGGUGAAGCCAUGGGAAACUGUGGUGGAGGCCGGUAGCUGUUCUGACGUGCAAAUUGUGUAGCCUGAGUGCGGCAUAGGGGUGAAAGGCCAAUCGAGCCACCUAGUAGCUGGUUCCCUUCGAAGUUUCCCUCAGGAUAGCUGGGAUCCAGAAAAGCGAAGAUCGAUGAGACUGGUUGCAUCCGGUAAAGCAACGCAUGAGAGGCCAACCCUGGGGAGCCCAGCUCCUCAACCUAUCCUCAAACUGUGAAUGGGUGCGGACAAUACCAGGCACGCUUCUUUGCCACGACUGGAGUCUGUGUCACAGCAGUUCUCCCUGUCUUCUGAGCGUGUUCGUCCCAAUUGUGAUGGCUUUUUUACUGCUGGUGGCUGAUGGGAGAACGUUCUCCAGUGGUGUGUAGAGGGGCACACCACCGCGACACUCUCGGUGGGGGUAAACAGAGCGAACAAAGACACCCCCAUCGUGUGGCUGUUGUGUGUUGUUGCUGUCUCGCUCCAUCACUGUCCGUCUCCCUGUGUCCACCGGGACCCUCGUGGUCCGAUCCUAGGGAGGUGUGCAUCAUGCACACCGACCUGUGGCAGUACACACAAAGUCCUCGCAAGUCGUUGAACAAUGGCUCCUAUGUGGACCAUGACUGGUAAGCAGUGCUGGUGAUGCGGGGUGCUCCGAGAGCAGACUUACAGAUCCAGAGUGUUGGCUCAUACUCAGAUCCCACAAAGGAUGUUGCUUACUAUGGAUAGCAGGACGGUGGCCAUGAAGGUUGGAACCCGCUGAGGAAUGUGUAACAACUCACCUGCCGAAGUGCGCAGCUCCGAAAAUGGAUGGUGCCCAAGUCAGUGUCUCCCUCACAGUCUGCCAGCGAUAUGGCAGCCAAGGCAGAGCAUCGCUGUGUAGAAAGGGCAUGGAUGACCGCUGAUCGUGCUGGGAGUGUUCCCGGCUUGAGGCGUCACCCAGAGCAGAUCUUGGUUGUAGUAGCGAGUACUCCACCGAAUGAGGAGUGGCAACACAACUCCGCUAUAUGCGAUUGAGGACUGGAGUGGAGCAGGUUUCCACACCAAACAGCCGUUGAAUGUGGGUCAACCGACCGUGAGCCAAGUGGUAAGUUCACUAAACAACCAAAGCUGCCUUGAUCCAACUCCUGUCUCCCCGCAGUCACCGUCCGGUGCCCCCCACACCCAGCGAACGGUUGAGAGAGAGAACCCAGCCACAACCGCCCUGUGGUGGGACACCGAUGAUGCUGUGGGAGAUAGAGCGGGAACAAGUGGGCAGGAAUGGCAAACAGGCAAGUGCGAGCAAGAUUCUACUGUCAUGGGCUAGAGGUCUCUUUGGGCGGUGGCGACACCCCCAAGGCAGCCCCUCCAGGCGUCGGACCAGUGAAUCCCCUGUGGAGUUCUCGUUUCCUCCUGAUGCAGACUCACGCGGGCUAUCGAUCGGCAUGACAGAUGGUGGUGUACGCCCUUCGCUCAGCAAGGCAGUGUGGUCUCCACACUGAUGGCAGUUCCAAACCAAAAGCAGACAUUCUAUUGUUGAAGAGCGGCAGUCACUGGUUCCAAUGAACAGCCUGCAGGAUUUUCGUGCCUCAGGACCCUUGUGUCCGUACUGCAUCACCGCAGCCGGUCUCCUCGACUAGACGUCGCUUGUCCACGGACGAAAUGCAGCUAAGGGAAGUCGGCAAACUGGCCGUGCACCUUUGGAAGAUACGGUGGCUCCAGAAGCCAAGUCAGCGGGCCCUGUUGAGGGAGUUGUUGCGGUUGCAUUGGUCGAUCACCCUGUGGGACAGCUCUCGGGUUGUUCUGUGGGGCCGUUUCGCCUUUGCCCGUGCUUCAUUCCGAACAGGGGCAACCCCGGUUCGGUCCCUUGUGGGCCGGAUUGGGGCCGACCGGCUGUCUAUCCAGUGGCUCAUGUGGAACUGUUGCUGUGCAGGGGAAUCUGACUGUUUAAUUGAAACCCAGCUUUGUGAAGGGACCAGCUGGCUGGUUCCAUGAGGUGACUUCUGCCCAGUGCUCUGAUUGUCAAUGCGAAGAGAUUCAGCCAAGCGCGGGUAAACGGCGGGAGUAACUAUGACUCUCUUAAGGUAGCCAAAUGCCUCGUCAACCAAUUAUUGACGCGCAUGAAUGGAUCAACGAGAUUCCUGCUGUCCCUAGUCGCUGUCUGGUGAACCAACAACCAAGGGAACGGGCUUGGAUGUGUCAGCGGGGAAAGAA
rnacentral:rRNA from 1 species